rnacentral:rRNA from 1 species
GAUCAUUAGAGGAAUACCCAAAACCUCCCAACCCCUGUGAACUUACCACUGUUUCCUCGGCGUGCGCACCUGGUUGCCCGCGGGGGAUCCGAGCCUACCCUGUAGCUACCCUGUAGCUACCCUGUAGACCCGGGUCCUCAGCACACGGCGCCGCUCAAGGUCCCGCCGAAGUACCCUGAACUCUGUUUAACGUGGAAUUCUGAAUGCUUCAACUAAAUAAGUUAAAACUUUCAACAACGGAUCUCUUGGUUCUGGCAUCGAUGAAGAACGCAGCGAAAUGCGAUAAGUAAUGUGAAUUGCAGAAUUCAGUGAAUCAUCGAAUCUUUGAACGCACAUUGCGCCCAUUAGUAUUCUAGUGGGCAUGCCUAUUCGAGCGUCAUUUCAACCCUUAAGCCUCUGUUGCUUAGCGUUGGGAGUCUACGGGUUACCCUGUAGUUCCUGAAAACCAUUGGCGGAGUCAGGGAGCACUCUAAGCGUAUUACACAAUCUUUUUGUCUCGCUUUGGAUAUUGCCCCGCCUCCACGCCGUAAAACCCCCCAUAUCAAAUGUUGACCUCGGAUUAGGUAGGAAUACCCGCUGAACUUAAGCAUAUCAAUAAGCGGAGGAAAAGAAACCAACAGGGAUUGCCCUAGUAACGGCGAGUGAAGCGGCAACAGCUCAAAUUUGAAAUCUGGCCCUCGUGGUCCGAGUUGUAAUUUGUAGAGGAUGCUUUUGGUGCGGUGCCUUCCGAGUUCCCUGGAACGGGACGCCAGAGAGGGUGAGAGCCCCGUACGGUUGGACACCUACCCUAUAUAUAGCUCCUUCGACGAGUCGAGUAGUUUGGGAAUGCUGCUCUAAAUGGGAGGUAAAUUUCUUCUAAAGCUAAAUACCGGCCAGAGACCGAUAGCGCACAAGUAGAGUGAUCGAAAGAUGAAAAGCACUUUGAAAAGAGGGUUAAAUAGCACGUGAAAUUGUUGAAAGGGAAGCGUUUGCGACCAGACUUUUUCCAGGGGGAUCAUCCGGUGUUCUCACCGGUGCACUCCGCCUGGUUUAGGCCAGCAUCGGUUCUCUUAGGGGGAUAAAGGCUUGGGGAACGUAGCUCCUUCGGGAGUGUUAUAGCCCCUUGCGUAAUACCCUUCGGGGGACCGAGGAUCGC